rnacentral:tRNA from 1 species
GGGAAUUAGUUGGAUUUUGAAUGGGCUUCUAACCUUUUUCAUGAGCAGUUCGAUUCUGUUCGUUCCUU